rnacentral:rRNA from 1 species
CCAAUGGCGUAUAUUAAAGUUGUUGCAGUUAAAAAGCUCGUAGUUGAAUUUCGGGGUUUAUCCGUCGGUCGGGCUUUUGGGUCUGUACUGGCGUGAUAGAUUCCUACCUUCUGAAUAACCGGCAUGUCAUUAAUUUGGUGCGCCGGGGAAGCAGGACUGUUACCUUGAAAAAAUUAGAGUGCUUAAAGCAGGCUUAUGCCUGAAUACAUUAGCAUGGAAUAAUGAAAUAGGACGGCAUGGUUCUAUUUUGUUGGUUUCUAGGAUCACCGUAAUGAUUAAUAGGGAUAGUUGGGGGCAUUAGUAUUCAAUUGUCAGAGGUGAAAUUCUUGGAUUUAUUGAAGACUAACUUCUGCGAAAGCAUUUGCCAAGGAUGUUUUCAUUAAUCAAGAACGAAAGUUAGGGGAUCGAAGACGAUCAGAUACCGUCGUAGUCUUAACCAUAAACUAUGCCGACUAGGGAUCGGACGAUGUUAAUUUUUUAAUGACUCGUUCGGCGCCUUACG